UACGUAGGUGGCAAGCGUUGUCCGGAUUUAUUGGGUUUAAAGGGUGCGUAGGCGGCUUUGUAAGUCAGUGGUGAAAUAUGGCAGCUCAACUGUCAAGGUGCCAUUGAUACUGCAGAGCUUGAGUACAGAUGAGGUAGGCGGAAUUGACGGUGUAGCGGUGAAAUGCUUAGAUAUCGCUUGGAACGCCAAAGGUGAAGACAGGUGACUGGGGGUGUGCCGACGCUGAGACGCGAAAGCCAGGGGAGCAAACGGG
rnacentral:rRNA from 1 species